UUUUCUUUCUCAAUCAGAUGGAAAAUGUAUUUGAGGAGAUUGCCUUGGAGGACUGCAUCACAUCGUCUUCAACUCCAGCAAAAGGUUGCUUAAUGCAGAGGCCAGCCAUGCAAAACGAUCUGUAGAUGGUAACGACGUUAUUGAUAUGUUAACCACAACAACCACAAGCGAAAUCGCUUCCAUCCUGCCAUUGAACACGCUUACUGAAGCUUUGGAAAUGGACGAAAGA